rnacentral:rRNA from 1 species
AAAACUUUGCAAUGCGGGAAACCGUGACAAGGGAACUCCGAGUGCCCGUAAAUUCGGGCUGUCCGCCAGUGUAAAAAACUGGUGAAGAAAGGGCCGGGCAAGACCGGUGCCAGCCGCCGCGGUAAUACCGGCGGCUCGAGUGGUGGCCACUAUUACUGGGCUUAAAGCGUUCGUAGCUGGUCUGUUAAGUCUCUGGGGAAAUCUUCCGGCUUAACCGGAAGGCGUCCCAGGGAUACUGGCAGACUAGGGACCGGUAGAGGUGAGGGGUACUCCAGGGGUAGGAGUGAAAUCCUGUAAUCCUUGGGGGACCACCUGUGGCGAAGGCGCCUCACCAGAACGGCUCCGACAGUGAGGAACGAAAGCUGGGGGAGCAAACCGGAU